rnacentral:rRNA from 1 species
UGUAUAAUGGGUCAGCGACUUAUAUUCUGUAGCAAGGUUAACCGAAUAGGGGAGCCGAAGGGAAACCGAGUCUUAACUGGGCGUUAAGUUGCAGGGUAUAGACCCGAAACCCGGUGAUCUAGCCAUGGGCAGGUUGAAGGUUGGGUAACACUAACUGGAGGACCGAACCGACUAAUGUUGAAAAAUUAGCGGAUGACUUGUGGCUGGGGGUGAAAGGCCAAUCAAACCGGGAGAUAGCUGGUUCUCCCCGAAAGCUAUUUAGGUAGCGCCUCGUGAAUUCAUCUCCGGGGGUAGAGCACUGUUUCGGCAAGGGGGUCAUCCCGACUUACCAACCCGAUGCAAACUGCGAAUACCGGAGAAUGUUAUCACGGGAGACACACGGCGGGUGCUAACGUCCGUCGUGAAGAGGGAAACAACCCAGACCGCCAGCUAAGGUCCCAAAGUCAUGGUUAAGUGGGAAACGAUGUGGGAAGGCCCAGACAGCCAGGAUGUUGGCUUAGAAGCAGCCAUCAUUUAAAGAAAGCGUAAUAGCUCACUGGUCGAGUCGGCCUGCGCGGAAGAUGUAACGGGGCUAAACCAUGCACCGAAGCUGCGGCAGCGACACUAUGUGUUGUUGGGUAGGGGAGCGUUCUGUAAGCCUGUGAAGGUGUGCUGUGAGGCAUGCUGGAGGUAUCAGAAGUGCGAAUGCUGACAUAAGUAACGAUAAAGCGGGUGAAAAGCCCGCUCGCCGGAAGACCAAGGGUUCCUGUCCAACGUUAAUCGGGGCAGGGUGAGUCGACCCCUAAGGCGAGGCCGAAAGGCGUAGUCGAUGGGAAACAGGUUAAUAUUCCUGUACUUGGUGUUACUGCGAAGGGGGGACGGAGAAGGCUAUGUUGGCCGGGCGACGGUUGUCCCGGUUUAAGCGUGUAGGCUGGUUUUCCAGGCAAAUCCGGAAAAUCAAGGCUGAGGCGUGAUGACGAGGCACUACGGUGCUGAAGCAACAAAUGCCCUGCUUCCAGGAAAAGCCUCUAAGCAUCAGGUAACAUCAAAUCGUACCCCAAACCGACACAGGUGGUCAGGUAGAGAAUACCAAGGCGCUUGAGAGAACUCGGGUGAAGGAACUAGGCAAAAUGGUGCCGUAACUUCGGGAGAAGGCACGCUGAUAUGUAGGUGAAGCGACUUGCUCGUGGAGCUGAAAUCAGUCGAAGAUACCAGCUGGCUGCAACUGUUUAUUAAAAACACAGCACUGUGCAAACACGAAAGUGGACGUAUACGGUGUGACGCCUGCCCGGUGCCGGAAGGUUAAUUGAUGGGGUUAGCGGUAACGCGAAGCUCUUGAUCGAAGCCCCGGUAAACGGCGGCCGUAACUAUAACGGUCCUAAGGUAGCGAAAUUCCUUGUCGGGUAAGUUCCGACCUGCACGAAUGGCGUAAUGAUGGCCAGGCUGUCUCCACCCGAGACUCAGUGAAAUUGAACUCGCUGUGAAGAUGCAGUGUACCCGCGGCAAGACGGAAAGACCCCGUGAACCUUUACUAUAGCUUGACACUGAACAUUGAGCCUUGAUGUGUAGGAUAGGUGGGAGGCUUUGAAGUGUGG